UACGUAGGGGGCAAGCGUUGUCCGGAUUUAUUGGGCGUAAAGCGCGUGUAGGCGGCCAGAAAAGUCCGCUGUGAAAACUCGAGGCUCAACUUCGAGCUGUCGGUGGAAACUUUCUGGCUAGAGUCCGGAAGAGGAGAAUGGAAUUCCUGGUGUAGCGGUGAAAUGCGCAGAUAUCAGGAAGAACACCAGCGGCGAAGGCGGCGCUCUGGGCCGGAACUGACGCUGAGACGCGAAAGCGUGGGGAGCGAACAGG
rnacentral:rRNA from 1 species